GACGAACGCUGGCGGCGUGCUUAACACAUGCAAGUCGAACGGUGAAGCGCCUUCGUUUUUGGGGGGUGUGGCGGGGUGGCGAAGGGGUGGGUAACAAGUGAGUAACCUGCCGCCUUCUUCUGGAUAACCGCAUGAAAGUGUGGCUUAUACCGGACAUUCUGAGGCUGUAGCAUGAUGGGUCUGGGGCAGCUAUUGUUUCGGUGGGGGAUGGGCUGGCGGCCUAUCAGGUUGGUGGGGGGGUGAUGGCCUACCAGGGCGGUGACGGGUAGCCGGGCUGAGAGGGUGGGCGGCCACACUGGGAAGGAGAGACGGAGCAGACUCCGAGGGGAGGCAGUAGGGGAGAAUAGUGCACGGUGGGCGGAAGGCUGAUGCAGCGACGCGGCGGUGAGGAUGGAGUCCGUCGGGUUGAGAACCUCUUUCGGGAGUGAAGCAGGCCUGGUUCGUUUGUGGGUGGGUUGACGGUACCUGGAGAAGAAGCGCCGGCUAACUACGUG
rnacentral:rRNA from 1 species